rnacentral:lncRNA from 1 species
GUUUCCAAGGAGAGAUCCUGUUGGAAGACCUUGUCUCCCAAACUCUGGGGAAGGAACAGGUGUGCAAACUGGCAGGUGACUCGUUUGCAGCAAUAAGAGAGAGAAACUGUGGUCUCUUCCCCCUUGUGAUUGUCGUGUUCAGUGAGCCAGGGACUGCUCCAGAGCCGAGUUGGGCUGUGACUCUCAGUCUGAGGAAGUUUGUCCUGACGGAAUCUCGAGGUCAAGGGGGACGUGUCACUGGAGCCGGCAAGCAUGACCCCGGGAGGGCUGACUGACCUCCAGACGGGCUUUUCCUGGACCCGCAUCCAACGCUGUUCUCGUCAGACCAGGCUGCCUUUCUGGGACUUCAGCAUUUCGGAAAGGAUCUGAUGGGUAUCUCAGAUGGUGCUAGGACAUAAAUAGCUACUUCGGGAGAAUGUUGCCUCCGUGAUGUGAUGAGUGAAUCAGCACCACAUUGAAUUAGCAGCAAUCUGGUGCUCAGGGUAAUGGAGUGAUGGUAAAUGAACAUUAUUACAUUUUUACGCUGUGAAUGAGUCCUUAGUAAAAAAGAUAAAUAGCUUCCAGGUGUCUUGCCACAAGAGUUAAACAACUGAGUCACUCACUGGCUCUUGAUGGAAGAACAGCGGCAGCCUAGCGUCUCCUCAUGAGUCAGCGACAGCCAACUUGGAUUACCCCCAGAUCCGACGUUAGCGUCAUUCCACAGUUGCCACAGCACAGUCAGUGCCCCUGCCGGAGGUGCACGAUGAGAGGAAGUUCUAGUGAAGGAUGCUAGCUGCCCCUGUCCCAUCUGACCAAACAGCCCCAGAGGCUACAGGCUGCCUACCCCAGGAACCACCUGUGGAUAGUCCGUGUCAAGGCGUGGACUCCGUGGCCAUCCCUGAGCAGGCCUGAUGGAUGCGCUGACUCCUGUGGUGGCCCAGGAGGAAAGGUAAUCUCUCGAGAACGUCCCCUCAGCUGGCUCAGCCC